rnacentral:tRNA from 3 species
GCGCCCAUAGCUCAACUGGAUAGAGCGUCUGGCUACGGACCAGGAGGUUGGGGGUUCGAAUCCUCCUGGGCGUACCA